AUUGAACGCUGGCGGCAGGCUUAACACAUGCAAGUCGAGCGGAGAUGAGGUGCUUGCACCUUAUCUUAGCGGCGGACGGGUGAGUAAUGCUUAGGAAUCUACCUAUUAGUGGGGGACAACAUUCCGAAAGGAAUGCUAAUACCGCAUACGCCCUACGGGGGAAAGCAGGGGAUCUUCGGACCUUGCGCUAAUAGAUGAGCCUAAGUCGGAUUAGCUAGUUGGUGGGGUAAAGGCCUACCAAGGCGACGAUCUGUAGCGGGUCUGAGAGGAUGAUCCGCCACACUGGGACUGAGACACGGCCCAGACUCCUACGGGAGGCAGCAGUGGGGAAUAUUGGACAAUGGGCGGAAGCCUGAUCCAGCCAUGCCGCGUGUGUGAAGAAGGCCUUUUGGUUGUAAAGCACUUUAAGCGAGGAGGAGGCUACCUGGAUUAAUACUCUAGGAUAGUGGACGUUACUCGCAGAAUAAGCACCGGCUAACUCUGUGCCAGCAGCCGCAGUAA
rnacentral:rRNA from 1 species